rnacentral:lncRNA from 1 species
CCUGAAACCAGAGGCACCAAGCAUGUACAAGGACAAGUUCGUGUGUGGCCAUGAAGCUGUGCUCUCAACAUUCUUCAACCACGUAAGUUAACUAAGAUUUAACCCAAUAUAUGUGGGAAAACUAUUUUUACAAACGUGAGGGGGAUGCAAAAUAAUAUUUACUGAUCCCCUCUGUGCCAAGCUCCAAUAGCUAUUAUAUAUUUUAUAUUCAUUGUCUCAUUUAUAUUUCUCCCAUCAAGCCAGUAGAGUAGUUAUAACUAUCUCCAAGUUAUAGAAAAGUAGACUGAAACCCAGAAAAGGCAGGGACAUACAGCCAAUGAGUGUAAGUGCUUGGAUUUGUUUUCAAAGCUCACAUUUUAGGGAAGCCAAGUACAUAAUAUAGCUUUGAUUUCUCUAAAGGAACAGAGACAAGUUGUUUUUAAAAGUGAACAAAUGUGGGGCGCCUGGGUGGCGCAGUCGGUUGGGCGUCCGACUUCAGCCAGGUCACGAUCUCGCGGUCCGUGAGUUCGAGCCCCGCGUCGGGCUCUGGGCUGAUGGCUCGGAGCCUGGAGCCUGUUUCCGAUUCUGUGUCUCCCUCUCUCUCUGCCCCUCCCCCGUUCAUGCUCUGUCUCUCUCUGUCCCAAAAAUAAAUAAAAAAAAAAAAAAGUGAACAAAUGUGCCUUAAAAUAAAAUAGCUUUAUUUUUGGUUUUGUAAAAGAAAUACAUCUUCGAUGUAAAAAGUUUAAAUAAUACAGAAAUUUUUGCUCCUACUUCAUGGCAAGAGCUUCAGUUCAGGGGGAAUCCCCAAAGCUUCGGACCCACUGGAGGUCUCACUACACUUCUGUGCCCUCUGCACCCUCAGCUGGAAUCCCCAUCCAGACUCACCCACACUCCCUUCCCUCUCUGGUAAAUCUAUAAGCAUCCUAAAAUUCUUAUCCAAAUUUCCUUCAAGGCCUUCCUUGCAUCCUUCACUUUAUCCCCCACCUUCCUCUAACCUUCCCCUAACCAGACAGAAUCACUCCCACCUCUGCCUCCGUCACUAUGCCUUUGAAAGCACUCCUACUAUGGUUUGCUGAUUUUGUAUCUCUCUCCUCCCCCCGAACUGGGGGCUCCAAGAAGGUAGGGGCAAAUCAUAUUCAUCUUCAUGCCAAGAGCAUAAAUGUCAUGGCACAACUGCAGUGUAACUUGGAAGCAGGGAAAAAUAUAUCAUGUCCAUCGUUCCAUGGAAAGAGAGCAUAAUGCAGCAGGGAGGAGCAGGGACUCUGGAGCCAGACUGCCUGGGUUCAAAAUCUGGCUCUGCCUUUGCCAGUUACAACUUUGUACAAGUCAAUUAACCUCUCCAUGCAUCAGUUUUCUCAUCUGUAGAAUGGGGAUUACAAUAGCACCCACCUCACAGCAAGACCAUGAGGAUUAAAUGAGGUAGUAUUUGUAAAGAACUUAGAAGAGGACCUGGAACUAAAUAAACACUUGUUUUAAAUAUUUGUUUGAGAAAUAAAUAUUAUUCCAGACCUAUACCUGUGCCACGUCAUUCAAAAGAGAAGAAAAUACAGCUCAAAUUCAGACUCUUGAGCCUGCUUUUUUCCCCUCCAGUUGUUUUCACCAAGUCUGUGUACAGUCAGUGCAUAGGGAGUAGUUAACAUUGCUCCCUACGUGAAAAAUGGGGAUUUAGUACCUGGAAUUGAUUUUAGAGAUGACUGAGCUUAAGCUUCUCAUUUUAUGGGUGAGGAAACCAAGGUGAAGUGGCUGUCCCAGGGCACAAGGCUCAUCAUAACGGUGCUUCCUUUGCCAACCCAGUGUUCUUUCCACAUAUUCUCAGAUAAUACCAGAAAGCCUGAGCAUGGUUAAAAUUAUCUGGGAGAAAGAAAAUGUCAGCAAAACUUGCGUGAGCACAGGGCCCAUGCUGAUUAAGCCGCUGUUCUUAUUCCAAACAGAUCUCAUUGUCUUCUGACCAAAGUUGGAUUCUACUCCUUCCAGAGAACUACUGGGCCCUUCUCCUUGGAUAAAAUCACCAUGAAUUUGAGAAAAUGCCCCUAAUUGCUUACUGAGUGGCAGGAAGAAUUACAGAAUGUCAAAUUGCCUUGGUGUCAUCUGGGGAGAAUUUUCUAAAUUUUAUGCUUCUAGUAGGAGAGUACAGAUGACUGUUACUAUUACAACAAAUGAGAGCAUAUCAGGGAAUAGAAUGCAAAAUGCACUUCGGGUUUUUUUUUUUUAGUGUUCCAAUGACAUUGCAAAGAAUUUCUCACCCCUAGGGGGAUGCUUCAGGCUACACCUCCACCCUCUAAAGAUCAAAUCCACUCUCUUCCACUCUAUCCUCUACUUCAGGAAGAUAUUUUGAGAUGCAGUGAAAUGGCAGAGUCAAGGAUAGGAACCACUCAGUGGGUUCACAUUCAAAUCCUCGCACAUGCCGUCUAGCCCAAAAGAUACAAACAAAAUCAAAGCCAGCAUGGCCUCUCUUCAGAGACGAUUCCUGCUCCUUUGCCUUCUUCCCUUUGACAAACAUGAUAUGCGGCUGGGAAAGUGCCAUUUUCAUAAAUGUUUCAUUUCCCCCUCCCCCAGGCACAGCGCUGCUGGAGCAUGAAUUAUGACCAGCCUGGCGGGCAAGCAUCUUUCCACAAGCACAUCUUUUCUCAUUUGCGGUCACGGUCGUACCUCCAAUGGAGUUGCCGGGGUGAAAGAGCUCAGUAUUGGAAAACACUGGCAGCUUCUGCGUCUGCUGACCAAUCCCUUGCCGGACAGUUUACCAGGCAGUUAAUUUAUGUUCUUUUCUCAAAGCCAAGAUGAACAGGGGUUUUCUCUCCUUCCUGCUUGGUUGCAAACAUAGGGAAGUCCUGCUGCUGCUGACUUAACCCACUUAGGAUUCCGCUUUCAAGCACUAUUUCCAUUGUGCUAUAUUUGAACAAUAAAUUAUUGUUCAUCCUUUUUAAAAAUGGUGAACAACUUCCGUGCUUGCUGAGUGAUAAUAUUUAUAAUUGUUGCCAACCAGGAGAAUCUGUUUGUGGGCGU